rnacentral:rRNA from 1 species
AGUGAACGCUGGCGGUAGGCCUAACACAUGCAAGUCGAACGGCAGCACAGUAAGAGCUUGCUCUUACGGGUGGCGAGUGGCGGACGGGUGAGGCAUACAUCGGAAUCUACUUUUUCGUGGGGGAUAACGUAGGGAAACUUACGCUAAUACCGCAUACGACCUACGGGUGAAAGCAGGGGAUCUUCGGACCUUGCGCGAUUGAAUGAGCCGAUGUCGGAUUAGCUAGUUGGCGGGGUAAAGGCCCACCAAGGCGACGAUCCGUAGCUGGUCUGAGAGGAUGAUCAGCCACACUGGAACUGAGACACGGUCCAGACUCCUACGGGAGGCAGCAGUGGGGAAUAUUGGGCAAUGGGCGCAAGCCUGAUCCAGCCAUACCGCGUGGGUGAAGAAGGCCUUCGGGUUGUAAAGCCCUUUUGUUGGGAAAGAAAAGCAGCAGGUUAAUACCCCGCUGUUCUGACGGUACCCAAAGAAUAAGCACCGGCUAACUUCGUG